GAUGAACGCUAGCUACAGGCUUAACACAUGCAAGUCGCGGGGCAGCAUGGGGGUUGCUUGCAAUCCCCGAUGGCGACCGGCGCACGGGUGAGUAACGCGUAUCCAACCUGCCCUUCACCACGGGAUAACCCGGCGAAAGUCGGACUAAUACCGUAUGUUGUCCAUUGACGGCAUCCGAUUUGGACGAAAGGUUUGGCGGUGAAGGAUGGGGAUGCGUCCGAUUAGCUGGACGGCGGGGUGACGGCCCACCGUGGCGACGAUCGGUAGGGGUUCUGAGAGGAAGGUCCCCCACACUGGAACUGAGACACGGUCCAGACUCCUACGGGAGGCAGCAGUGAGGAAUAUUGGUCAAUGGGCGUAAGCCUGAACCAGCCAAGUAGCGUGCAGGAGGACGGCCAUAUGGGUUGUAAACUGCUUUUAUGCGGGGAUAAAGUGGCCCACGUGUGGGUUUUUGCAGGUACCGCAUGAAUAAGGACCGGCUAAUUCCGUG
rnacentral:rRNA from 1 species